AACGAACGCUGGCGGCAGGCCUAACACAUGCAAGUCGAGCGCGCCCUUCGGGGUGAGCGGCGGACGGGUGAGUAACGCGUGGGAACGUGCCUUCUCUGCGGAAUAGCCUCGGGAAACUGAGAGUAAUACCGCAUACGCCCUUUGGGGGAAAGAUUUAUCGGAGAAGGAUCGGCCCGCGUUGGAUUAGGUAGUUGGUGGGGUAAUGGCCCACCAAGCCGACGAUCCAUAGCUGGUUUGAGAGGAUGAUCAGCCACACUGGGACUGAGACACGGCCCAGACUCCUACGGGAGGCAGCAGUGGGGAAUCUUAGACAAUGGGGGCAACCCUGAUCUAGCCAUGCCGCGUGAGUGAUGAAGGCCUUAGGGUUGUAAAGCUCUUUCAGCUGGGAAGAUAAUGACGGUACCAGCAGAAGAAGCCCCGGCUAACUCCGUG
rnacentral:rRNA from 1 species